rnacentral:rRNA from 1 species
GUAGUCAUAUGCUUGUCUCAAAGAUUAAGCCAUGCAUGUCUAAGUAUAAGCAAUUAUACAGCGAAACUGCGAAUGGCUCAUUAUAUAAGUUAUCGUUUAUUUGAUAGUACCUUACUACUUGGAUAACCGUGGUAAUUCUAGAGCUAAUACAUGCUAAAAAUCCCGACUUCGGAAGGGAUGUAUUUAUUAGAUUAAAAACCAAUGCCCUUUGGGCUCCUUGGUGAUUCAUAAUAACUUUUCGAAUCGCAUGGCCUUGCGCCGGCGAUGGUUCAUUCAAAUUUCUUCCCUAUCAACUUUCGAUGUUUGGGUAUUGGCCAAACAUGGUCGCAACGGGUAACGGAGGGUUAGGGCUCGACCCCGGAGAAGGAGCCUGAGAAACGGCUACUACAUCCAAGGAAGGCAGCAGGCGCGCAAAUUACCCAAUCCCGAUUCGGGGAGGUAGUGACAAUAAAUACUGAUACAGGGCUCUUUUGGGUCUUGUAAUUGGAAUGAGUACAAUUUAAAUCCCUUAACGAGGAACAAUUGGAGGGCAAGUCUGGUGCCAGCAGCCGCGGUAAUUCCAGCUCCAAUAGCGUAUAUUAAAGUUGUUGUGGUUAAAAAGCUCGUAGUUGAACCUUGGGCCUGGCUGGCCGGUCCGCCUCACCGCGUGUACUGGUCCGGCCGGGCCUUUCCCUCUGUGGAACCUCAUGCCCUUCACUGGGUGUGGCGGGGAAACAGGACUUUUACUUUGAAAAAAUUAGAGUGCUCCAGGCAGGCCUAUGCUCGAAUACAUUAGCAUGGAAUAAUAAAAUAGGACGUGUGGUUCUAUUUUGUUGGUUUCUAGGACCGCCGUAAUGAUUAAUAGGGACAGUCGGGGGCAUCAGUAUUCAAUUGUCAGAGGUGAAAUUCUUGGAUUUAUUGAAGACUAACUACUGCGAAAGCAUUUGCCAAGGAUGUUUUCAUUAAUCAGGAACGAAAGUUAGGGGAUCGAAGACGAUCAGAUACCGUCGUAGUCUUAACCAUAAACUAUGCCGACUAGGGAUCGGACGGAUGUUAUUUUUUGACGCGUUCGGCACCUUAACGAGAAAUCAAAGUGCUUGGGCUCCAGGGGGAGUAUGGUCGCAAGGCUGAAACUUAAAGGAAUUUGACGGAAG